rnacentral:rRNA from 1 species
CGGCAACAGCUCAAAUUUGAAAUCUGGCCCCCAGGGCCCGAGUUGUAAUUUGCAGAGGAUGCUUUUGGCGCGGUGCCUUCCGAGUUCCCUGGAACGGGACGCCAUAGAGGGUGAGAGCCCCGUCUGGUCGGACGCCUAGCCUGUGUAAAGCUCCUUCGACGAGUCGAGUAGUUUGGGAAUGCUGCUCUAAAUGGGAGGUAUAUGUCUUCUAAAGCUAAAUACCGGCCAGAGACCGAUAGCGCACAAGUAGAGUGAUCGAAAGAUGAAAAGCACUUUGAAAAGAGGGUUAAAUAGUACGUGAAAUUGUUGAAAGGGAAGCGCUUGUGACCAGACUUGGGCCCGGUGGAUCAUCCAGCGUUCUCGCUGGUGCACUCCGCCGGGUUCAGGCCAGCAUCAGUUCGCCGCGGGGGAAAAAGGCUUCGGGAACGUGGCUCCUACGGGAGUGUUAUAGCCCGUUGCAUAAUACCCUGGGGCGGACUGAGGUUCGCGCUCCGCAAGGAUGCUGGCGUAAUGGUCAUCAGCGACCC